AUGACCCAAGCUCCUGUUUGUUGAUUGUGAUGAAAUGCAUGCUGAGGCACAUGCCUUGGGAGCUAAGUGGCAGCUAUACUUCACUACUAUGGCAGUAAAGAUGACUAUAAAGACUGGCGGGGGAUGGAUCCUUUCAAAUGUACCUGAGCUGGGAUGCCCAGCUUGUGGAACGCACAGCAGGAGGUGAGCAGUGGCCAAAGGAACAUCUGAAGGAACACCUGAUGAGGCUGCACCCUUGGCGGAAAGAACACCUGACAUGGCUGAAAGCUUGGUGGAAAAACCACCUGAUGAGGCUGCACCCUUGGUGGAGGGAACAGCUGACAAAAUUCAAUGUUUGGGGAAAGCAACAUCUGGAAAGUUUGAACAGUCAGCAGAAGAAACACCUAAGAAAAUUAUGAGGACUGCAAAAGAAACAUCUAAGAAAUUUGCAUGGCCAGCAAAAGAAAGACCUAGGAAGAUCACAUGGGAGGAAAAAUAAACAUCUGUAAAGACUGAAUGCGUGGCAGGAGUAAUACCUAAUAAAACUGAAGUUUUGGAAAAAGGAACAUCUAAGAUGCUCACGUGUCCUACAAAAGAAACAUCUACAAAAGCAAGUACAAAUGUGGAUGUGAGUUCUGUAGAGUCUAUAUUCAGAGUCUCACCCUGUCACCCAGGCUGGAAUGCAAUGGCACGAUCUCGGCUCACUGCAACCUCCACCUCCCAGAAGGAAGCAACAAAGACAGCAACUGAACAACAAGAAAAUGAUAUUGGAAUUAUUGAAUGAGCGCCAUAAGAUCUAACAAAUAAGAUGCCCACAUCAGAGUCAGGACAAAAAGAAGAUACGAAAUCACCUUCAGUUUCUGAGGUCACAGCUAUGGAUGUGGAAGAGAUAGGAAAGGCCUCACCACUUAAGAUAGAAGCAGCAGCUGCAUAGUGGUAACAGCAAUGAGUGGAUGUCAAAAGACAGAUUCAACUAGCCUAUCAAUAUUCUUGGGUGCAGUUCCUUCUCAUGAAAGAGCAAGGGAACUUAAAAAAUAUCACUGUGAACAACUUACAGCAAAAAUAAAACAAAUGAAAAAUAAGUUUUGGGUACUACAAAAGGAACUAUCAGAAGCAAAAAUAAAAUUGCAGUAAGUGAAUCAAAAGGUUAAAUGGGAACAAGAGCUCUGCAGUGUGAGCUUGGAAUGAAGUUGAUAAUAGUGAGACCUUGUUGGUACAAGACUAUGUAACACAACCUGCACUUCUCAACAAAAAAUUGCUUUUCUGACUUCUGCACUCAGUAGGUAUCUUUGGAAAAUAAUCUCCUAUUGGUACUGAGGC
rnacentral:lncRNA from 1 species